ACCCGCUGAACUUAAGCAUAUCAGUAAGCGGAGGAAAAGAAACUAAAUAGGAUUCCCCCAGUAACGGCGAGUGAAAAGGGAAAAGUCCAUCGCUAAAUCGUUUUGCCUCAGGCAUUAUGAGGUGUAGCGUAUAAGUCGUAAACUUUGAUCUUUUGUCUCAAACAAGUCCCCUUGACAGAGGUUCCACAGAAGGUGCAAGUCCUGUACGUUGAGAUAAUUGAUCGAUAUUUGCGUGCUUUAGAGUCGGGUUGUUUGGGAUCGCAGCCCAAAGUCGGUGGUAAACUUCAUCUAAGACUUAAUAUUGCCACGAGACCGAUAGCAAACAAGUACUGUGAAGGAAAGUUGCAAAGCACUUUGAAGAGAGAGUUAAAGAGGACGUGAAACCGGUAAGGUGGAAACGGAUAGAGUCGGCGUAUCAUUCAAUUAUUCAGUUACAUUAUUUUUAUGUUGUGACCUCUGAGCUCCAGAUUGGGACAGAGGGAAUCAGCAUAAUUUUUUGUGGUGCAUUUACUUGAUUGGUGCUUGGGGAUGUUUGAGGCUGAUUUGUUUCCGUCGUUUUGAGGCCAGCUUGCUGGUACCCAAACGGUGUUAGCAUUUUUUGUCUUGGGCAUUUGAGUAUGGCUCACGUGUAUUUAUUGGACAGAUCUGAGUGUAAGUUACGGUCGCAUGCGACACGUGCUUUUCAAUUAGUUCGGUCCAGUUAAUGCUCUCGUACUCGUUCCCCAUGUAAAAGCCGGUCAUCUAUCCGACCCGUCUUGAAACACGGACCAAGGAGUUUAUCGUGUGCGCAAGUUUUUGGGUGUUAAAAACUUAAAAGCGAAAUGAAAGUAAAUGACUCUUUAGAGUCUGAUGUGCGAUCUUGUAAAAAAGUGUAGCAUGGCCCCAUUCUAACUGUUUACAGUAGGGUGGCGGAAGAGCGUACGCGGUGAGACCCGAAAGAUGGUGAACUAUUCCUGAGCAGGACGAAGCCAGAGGAAACUCUGGUGGAAGUCCGAAGCGGUUCUGACGUGCAAAUCGAUCGUCUGACUUGGGU
rnacentral:rRNA from 1 species